CGACCUCAGGUCAGGCGGGACUACCCGCUGAGUU
rnacentral:rRNA from 1 species